rnacentral:rRNA from 1 species
AUUGAACGCUGGCGGCAUGCUUUACACAUGCAAGUCGAACGGCAGCGGGGGCUUCGGCCUGCCGGCGAGUGGCGAACGGGUGAGUAAUGCAUCGGAACGUGCCCAUGUCGUGGGGGAUAACGUAGCGAAAGCUACGCUAAUACCGCAUACGUCCUGAGGGAGAAAGCGGGGGAUCUUUGGACCUCGCGCGAUUGGAGCGGCCGAUGUCGGAUUAGCUAGUAGGUGAGGUAAAGGCUCACCUAGGCGACGAUCCGUAGCGGGUCUGAGAGGAUGAUCCGCCACACUGGGACUGAGACACGGCCCAGACUCCUACGGGAGGCAGCAGUGGGGAAUUUUGGACAACGGGGGCAACCCUGAUCCAGCCAUGCCGCGUGAGUGAAGAAGGCCUCGGUUGUAAC